UGGGGACAAGGUGCGGUGAAGUCGAGACAGUUGAUGUCCCGUCGGCAGUUGGCAAUAAAGAGAUCCAGAGCAGGCAGAAGACCAGAGCGGGGUGUCCAUGAAGAAGAGGAGGGUUGAAGACGGGAGAAGGGGUCAUCGGUGGGGGUGGAAGAGUCCUUGCCGAAGAAGUAGGCUCGGAGACGGAGACGGCGGAAGAAAAGUUCCGCAUCAUGGCGAACACGGAACUCGCUGAGGUGUGGGCGAAGGGGAACAAAGGUGACCCCAAUGUUGUCUGUUUGGGUAACAGAAGUUCACAAAUCGCAACCUUACAUCUGAAAUGUGAAAUGAAAUUUGUUUUCACGGAACUUAAUGUGGAAAAAAGAAAAUAAAUAAAACCCGCAUUUCUUGACAUAUGCGCAGAUGGCAUAAUUUGGCAUUACAGAAAGUCACAACACAGAUUGGAACACACACCCAAAAUGCUGGAGGAACUCAGCAAAUCAGGCAGCAUCAGUAUAGGGGAGCAAACAAUGGACGUUUUGGACUGAGACCCAAAACGUUGACUGUUUAUUCCCCUGUAUUGAUGCUGGCCGAAUUGCUAAGUUCCUUCAGGGUUGUGUGUGUGUGUGUGUGUGUGUGUGUGUGUGUGUGUGUGUGUGUGUGUGUGUGUGUGUGUGUGUGUGUGUGUGUGUGUGUGUGUGUGUGUGUGUGUGUGUGUGUGUGUGUGUGUGUGUGUGUGUGUGUUACUCAAUAUUUCCAGCAUGAGCAGAAUCUCUUGUGUUUAUUCUGAAGAAUGUAAGCUCCACUAACACAGGGGUCAUCUGUACUAAUCUAGAUAAUCCAACUAAAUUUCUGGGCUGAGUUUUCCUAGAACUGUAUCUCAGACUAUGAGGUGACAGCUUCUAUGGUCUUUUGGGGUGUUGGUGGACAAUAGUAUGAGAAGAAAGUUGCCUUUUAUUAUGCUUUUCGUGUUUUUAAUCCUGCCCUUGUGGUCCCAUUGGUACAGUAAAACUCGCUGGACUGCACUUUCUCUUUUCAAUUGUUGGAAACAUGUGUGAGGUCUCUUUAUAAUGCGAGUUGUUCUGUUCUGACCCUGCCUUGCUUGUGUACUAUGAAAAUUUCUGGAUGUUUGGAGAAUUUAUUAACUUCAGUGCACCAAACCUGACCCCAUACAUAAUGAUAGAUGUUGUAUGUGGCAAUUACAAUCCGUGGUAUAAAUGUUCUUCGAAUAGUUUUGGUGGUUAUUUGAUCAUGUCUUAAUACUCGAGCGGGUCAGGCAGGACAUUUCUAGUGUGUAUUUUUCCUUUGCCUUGAGAUACUGCUGUUUUUAUUCAGUUUCUCUUUGGAGAUUGCAACUUCAUAAAACUCUGGCUAGGCCAUAUCUGGGGUAGUGCAUACAGUUCUGGUUGCCCCACUAUAGGAAGGAUGUGGAGGCUUUGGAGAGGGUGCAGAAGAGGCUUACCAGGAGGCUGUCUGGUGUAGAGGGCAUGUGCUAUCAUGAGAGGCUGGAUAAGCUUAGGUUCUAUUCUCUGGAGUGACGGAGACUGAGGGGAGAUCUGAUAGAGGUUUAUAAGAUUAUGAGAGGCAUAGAUAGACUAGACAGGGAUGAUUUUUUCCUCAGGGUAGAAAUGUCUAAUACCAGAGGGCAUGCAUUGAAGAUGAGGGGGGUAGGUUCAGAGGAGAUGUGAAGGGUUUUUUUUGCUCAGAGUCACGGAUGCCUUGAAUGUUCUGCCUAGUAUAGCGGUAGAGGCAAAUAUAUUAAAAGCUUUUAAGAGACGCUUGGAUAGUCACAUGGAUGUAAGGAAGAUGGAGGGAUAUGGAUAUGGUUGAGGUCGGAGGGAUUAGCAUCUGGGUGUUUUUGAUUUGCUUUUUAGCUGGUUCAGUACAACAUUGUGGGCUGAAUGGCCUGUUCCCGUGCGGUACUCUUCUAUGUUCUGAGACUAAAUGAUUAUACUGGGAGGCACAGAGGAAGGAUGUUGAGCUGUGGCUGGGACAGACUCAAUGGUCCAUUCCGCUCGGGUGCAAGUUGUUAUUUUUACAAUACUGUCCUUGUCAUUUUACUUUUCUAUGCUUACUUGCAUUUUUCUAUAAUCACCUAUCUACCCGUAUGCACAAUUGAUUAGUAAAUCUUCCAGUAAUUAUAGUACAGAUUAUUCUAUAUUUAUUCAGAAGCUUCUCAAAUCUCAGUUUAUUUCGUGCAGUAGUUGUCAUACUGCUGUAACCUGGCUAUUUUAUAGUUUAAUUGUUAUCACUGGAAUUUCUUUUGUCUCCGGUCUGAGGGUGAGAUGACCACAACUUCUUUUUCUUUGUCUUUUCUUUGUUCUUGUAACACUUAAUAAAACAGCCAAAACCACUAAAUUUUAUGCCUCGUUCUUGACUUCCAAAGAACCGCAGAUCAAUAUUGCCAGAUCCAACGGGCCCAGGUGGCGUCCCGGGACGGGUUCUCUGGGCCUGUGCAAGCGAGCUAGCUGGAGUGUUUGCUGACAGCUUCAACUGCUCCUUGCUUCAGUCUAAGAUCCCCUCCUGUUUUAAGAAGGCAAAGAUAAUCCCGGUGCCGAAGAAGAGCAAGGUGGCACGCCUGAAUGACUAUCGACCUGUGGCUCUGACAUCAAUUGCUAUGAAGUGCUUCGAGGGAUUGGUUAUGGCACACAUCAACCACAGCCUGCCGGUCAACCUCGACGCUUUGCAUUUUGCCUACUGGAGCAACAGGUCAAUGGCAGAUGCCAUCUCUCUGGUCCAACAUUCCUCCUCAGAACACCUGGAGAAUAAAGACGCAUACGUAAGGCUCCUUUUCAUUGACUACAGCUCUGCCUUUAAUACCAUUAUUCCAAAUAAACUGAUUCCUAAGCUCUGGAACCUGGGCCUUAGCACUCAGAUCUGCAGCUGGAUCUUCAACUUCCUCACAGACAGGACCCAGGC